rnacentral:rRNA from 1 species
UCCGCCUGGGAACUACGAGCAAUAGCUUAAAACCCAAAGGACUUGGCGGUGCUUUAGACCCCCCUAGAGGAGCCUGUUCUAGAACUGAUAACCCCCGUUUAACCUCACCACCCUUUGUUUACCCCGCUUAUAUACCACCGUCGUCAGCUUACCCUAUGAAGGGAAAAUAGUAAGCAUAAAUGGCAAAGCCAAAAACGUCAGGUCGAGGUGUAGCGCAUGGGGCGGGAAGAAAUGGGCUACAUUCUCUGCCA